rnacentral:tRNA from 1 species
GCGCUCUUAGUUCAGUUCGGUAGAACGUGGGUCUCCAAAACCCGAUGUCGCAGGUUCAAAUCCCGCAGAGCGUG